UGCUUAACCAGGGCGGCGUUACCCCUUAAACUGUCGUGUCUACCCAUCCAGCUCAACCAGGGUUGCAGGUCCCAACCAGGUUUGUGCUUUUUAUUAUUUGAAGUGCAAAAACAAGCCGAAUUAAGAUCAUCACUGAGAUGAUGUGAGUGAUUUUGCAGAUCAAGAGACGACGAUGGCUUGCUGCGUUGACUGCGCUAAACGCUAUAUGGUGGUGUCAGUCGGAUCUAUUGGACUUCUUGUUUCCAUUGGUUUCCGAACAUGUUUCUCUCUCGUCAUGGUUCAUGUGACCAAUCACACAUCCACAGAACGUGACGACAAUUCCCUGUUUCACAAUUGUACAGUAACUGGCACCUCUCGAGACCUGCAGCUCAACAUAGAACCCAGUCAUGUUUUCCUGUUGCACACUGUCUUCUACUGUGGUAAUCUCGUCACUCAGAUACCAGGCGGU